rnacentral:rRNA from 1 species
UNCACGCCCUAAACGAUGUCGAUUAGCUGUUGGGCAGCAUGACUGCUUAGUAGCGAAGCUAACGCGUGAANUCGACCGCCUGGGGAGUACGGUCGCAAGGUUAAAACUCAAAGGAAUUGACGGGGACCCGCACAAGCGGUGGAUGAUGUGGAUUAAUUCGAUGCAACGCGAAGAACCUUACCUGGUCUUGACAUGUACGGAAUCCUCCAGAGACGGAGGAGUGCCUUCGGGAGCCGUAACACAGGUGCUGCAUGGCUGUCGUCAGCUCGUGUCGUGAGAUGUUGGGUUAAGUCCCGCAACGAGCGCAACCCUUGUCAUUAGUUGCCAUCAUUAAGUUGGGCACUCUAAUGAGACUGCCGGUGACAAGCCGGAGGAAGGUGGGGAUGACGUCAAGUCCUCAUGGCCCUUAUGACCAGGGCUUCACACGUCAUACAAUGGUCGGUACAGAGGGUAGCCAAGCCGCGAGGCGGAGCCAAUCUCACAAAACCGAUCGUAGUCCGGAUUGCACUCUGCAACUCGAGUGCAUGAAGUCGGAAUCGCUAGUAAUCGCAGGUCAGCAUACUGCGGUGAAUACGUUCCCGGGUCUUGUACACACCGCCCGUCACACCAUGGGAGUGGGGGAUACCAGAAGUNGGUAGGGUAACCGCAAGGAGCCCGCUUACCACGNU